rnacentral:rRNA from 1 species
GAUGAACGCUAGCGGCAGGCUUAACACAUGCAAGUCGAGGGGCAACACGGGUAGCAAUACCUGGUGGCGACCGGCGCAAGGGUGCGUAACGCGUGAGCAACAUGCCCUAUACAGGGGGAUAAUCCAGGGAAACUUGGUCUAAUAUCCCAUAGUAUUUAGAGGUGGCAUCACCACUAAAUUAAAGCUUCGGUGGUAUAGGAUUGGCUCGCGUGACAUUAGCUGGAUGGUGGGGUAACGGCUCACCAUGGCGAUGAUGUCUAGGGGUUCUGAGAGGAAGACCCCCCACACUGGGACUGAGACACGGCCCAGACUCCUACGGGAGCAGCAGUGAGGAAUAUUGGACAAUGGAUGGGAAAUCUGAUCCAGCCAUGCCGCGUGCAGGAAGACGGCCCUAUGGGUUGUAAACUGCUUUUAUAUGGGAGCAAUAAGGUUUACGCGUAGACCGAUGAGAGUACCAUAUGAAUAAGCAUCGGCUAACUCCGU